UUAAUAAAACAACCCUGUAUUUCGUCACGGUAAAAGCCGCCACCUGUUUCAUCUUGUUCACUCCCCAUGCUACAGUCACCGGCGGUAUUUGUAUCUCUAGCGGAAGCUAGCUCAAGCUGCACUGGUGUUUCUAGCUAACGACGCACCGUCACCGGCGGCGCUGAUUCUAGCACUCUCCGUCACAAGCGGUAGCACUGUGUUGCCUGCAUAUUCGGGAUGAUGAUAUACAGCAAAUAGACAAGAUCCAAAUGGAAGUGGGAGCCAAAGAGACAGCUAAGAUUGUUUAGGGGUUCCAGUAAGAAGGUUAUCCCGACAAAGGUCUAACCACUCAAAUGUGCUCCAAGUCAGGAGGAUGGCUUCAACGAGCUUCAUGAUUUGGAGAGUUCAUUUGCUUCAUUUCCUAUCAAAUCAUUGCAAGCAUUUAAGUAAGGAUUAUUUCCGUCUCAUCUUCAUUGCUAACAGCUUCAUCAAUAUAAUUAAGUGUCUUCCAGGGUGGCGGAAUGUAUUUUCCUGAAAUUUUCAGUUUGAAAUUGUUUGUAAAAUUGAGUUGGAUGGAAUAAAAAUGCUGACUUAAGAAACUUUUUUUCCCCAAUUCAUUCUUGUUAUUUUCUAAUCAUUACUGUUCUUAUGCAUUUGUGUAAUAUAAAUGCCAAUUAGAAAAAAAGAUAGAAUUUUCUUCCCUGUAAUUAUUUUUUCCCUUAUUGAUGAAGAGGUUGUUUUGAUAUUGGUGAGGAUGAUGAGGGUUCAAGGUCAGUUUCUUUUAAGACCAAGAAACUGGAAGGAGUGAGAGAGGGGAUUUAGGGCAAAUAGCUCUUUCCCAUGUCAUCCCAUUUCUGAGCAUAGAAAGUUUUUGAGUGGUUCACUAAUACUCGAUAAUGGUUUUUCUCCUAUGAAAGUUACACAUGACGGAGACAGGUAAUUUUGAUCCUGAUUGUAGUUGUACUUUCUCUUUAUUUAUUUGCUACCAAGAGGUUUUAAAGAAUUUAUGAUUAGGUUAAUUUUUCCUUCUUAGUUCACUUAAAGAAAAAUAAGAUAUUAUACUGUCCAUGUAUAGCUUUUUCUCAAUUUAUCUGAAAAUUAAACUUUGAAAACCUCUGCAAGCUUUUUCCAAAGUUGAUCAGAAUUCUUAGAUAUGUUAUUUAGCUUCUUUAGAUAAUUGUUCUGGAAAAUUAGAGUAAAACCUCCUAUAAAAAUAUUGGCUACUUGCUCUUGAAUAAUGCAAUUAGUAGAUUCAAUGAUUUAUAAGGAUUAGUCUUUCAGUGUUCUUCCAUGUGUCACAUCUAUAUUUGUGAAUGUUCUCUGUAAAUUUGCUCAUGUGAGUUGUGCAACUCACUUUCUUUUUAUGGAUGCAUAAUAUAGUUGUACAGAGACACAUUAAGCUCUCUGACCUAUGCCGCCUUCAAUUUUUAAUCCUGUGGAAAGCAUGAUGUAAACUUGGGACAGAAUUAUUAUUGGGUUGCUUUGAACCUAUGUUGCAUGAAAUGCCAGUUUAAAAAUUCCAGGACAGAAAUAUUAAUGUUAGAACAAGAUAUGGUUUUUGGCGGUGACACAUGAUACACCACAUCAAAAGUCUUCUUUAUAUCAAAAGGCUGCCUGCUGUUGUGAUGUCUACACAAAGAUCCGAAAAAUAAUCUGAGAGGAACUACGGUGGCCCAUUGCAUUAUCG